UACGUAGGAUGCAAGCGUUGUCCGGAUUUAUUGGGCGUAAAGAGUUCGUAGGUGGUUCGUUAAGUCUGAUGUUAAAGACCGGGGCUCAACUUCGGGACUGCAUUGGAUACUGGCGGACUUGAGUGUGGUAGAGGCAAUCGGAAUUCCAGAUGUAGCGGUGAAAUGCGUAGAUAUCUGGAAGAACACCGGUGGCGAAAGCGGAUUGCUGGGCCAUAACUGACACUGAGGAACGAAAGCUAGGGGAGCGAAUGGG
rnacentral:rRNA from 1 species